AGGGUGCCAUAGGGCUCAGGUCAGAAGUAAUGAACCAUACAGGGAACAGGGUGCCAUAGGGCUCAGGUCAGAAGUAGUGAACCAUACAGGGAACAGGGUGCCAUAGGGCUCAGGUCAGAAGUAGUGAACCAUACAGGGAACAGGGAGCCAUAGGGCUCAGGUCAGAAGUAGUGAACCAUACAGGGAACAGGGAGCCACAGGGCUCAGGUCAGAAGUAGUGAACCAUACAGGGAACAGGGUGCCAUAGGGCUCAGGUCAGAAGUAAUGAACCAUACAGGGAACAGGGAGCCAUAGGGCUCAGGUCAGAAGUAAUGAACCAUACAGGGAACAGGGUGCCAUAGGGCUCAGGUCAGAAGUAGUGAACCAUACAGGGAACAGGGUGCCAUAGGGCUCAGGUCAGAAGUAAUGAACCAUACAGGGAACAGGGAGCCAUAGGGCUCAGGUCAGAA